rnacentral:misc_RNA from 1 species
GGAAUUUUAUGAUUCGAUUCAAUUUUUUAUUCACACAAUGAAGAUUUCAAUUCUCAAUUCAAAUCUCAAUUUGACAACUAGGAAUAAAAUUAAAACAUAAUUGUCCUCGUUUGGAGGCUCUAGUUCUAACUUCUAACAAAUCUAAUUGUUUCUCCACUGCUUCCUUUGCAAGAUUACAUAUUUUUGAAUUUCAGUGACCAAGAUCUCCUGCAUCCAGCUGGCAAACGCUUCACUAAAUUACACACACAAAGUUUAUGAUAAACUAGUCCAAGCUUAUCCACUUUUACCUUCGAUCAUUAGGUUGGCUGCUAUAACCAUUGUGAUUCAGGUGAGGAAAUAACAAACAGAAAAGAUGAGUUUAUAUUUACAAUCACAAUAAAGUUUAUCUAUUGGGCACUAGUCCCAUAAUUACUGCAUCAAAUCGAAUUCAUAAAUUUUUUUAAUAAAAGAAAUAGAAAACCAUAUGAAUAAU